AGCGGGUAUCCCUACCUGAUCCGAGGUCA
rnacentral:rRNA from 1 species